rnacentral:rRNA from 1 species
UACGUAGGGUGCGAGCGUUGUCCGGAAUUAUUGGGCGUAAAGAGCUCGUAGGCGGUGUGUCACGUCGGCCGUGAAAACCUGCAGCUUAACUGUGGGCGUGCGGUCGAUACGGGCAUCACUGGAGUUCGGCAGGGGAGACUGGAAUUCCUGGUGUAGCGGUGAAAUGCGCAGAUAUCAGGAGGAACACCGGUGGCGAAGGCGGGUCUCUGGGCCGUAACUGACGCUGGAGGAGCGAAAGCGUGGGGAGCGAACAGG